rnacentral:ncRNA from 1 species
GGGAAUGUGAUGAUGGGGAAGAGUACGGCAGGAGAUUCAUUCAGCGAGGGUGGAACCGGUGCGAGCCGCCUUGGAGAGACUCCCGGAAGUGCGCCUCGGAGCAGGUUAAAUGAAGGAAAGUAUUUUAACCCGUAGAGGCUGCGUUAAGGCCCAGAGUGGAACAGCAGACUUUUUUGAAGGUGCUGUUCAAACAGAGUGGAACCACGGAAUCCCCGUCUCUGGA